rnacentral:rRNA from 1 species
GACGAACGCUGGCGGCGCGCUUAACACAUGCAAGUCGAACGGAAAGGCCCUGCUUUUGUGGGGUGCUCGAGUGGCGAACGGGUGAGUAACACGUGAGUAACCUGCCCUUGACUUUGGGAUAACUUCAGGAAACUGGGGCUAAUACCGGAUAGGAGCUCCUGCUGCAUGGUGGGGGUUGGAAAGUUUCGGCGGUUGGGGAUGGACUCGCGGCUUAUCAGCUUGUUGGUGGGGUAGUGGCUUACCAAGGCUUUGACGGGUAGCCGGCCUGAGAGGGUGACCGGCCACAUUGGGACUGAGAUACGGCCCAGACUCCUACGGGAGGCAGCAGUGGGGAAUAUUGCACAAUGGGCGGAAGCCUGAUGCAGCAACGCCGCGUGCGGGAUGACGGCCUUCGGGUUGUAAACCGCUUUCGCCUGUGACGAAGCGUGAGUGACGGUAAUGGGUAAAGAAGCACCGGCUAACUACGUGCCAGCAGCCGCGGUGAUACGUAGGGUGCGAGCGUUGUCCGGAUUUAUUGGGCGUAAAGGGCUCGUAGGUGGUUGAUCGCGUCGGAAGUGUAAUCUUGGGGCUUAACCCUGAGCGUGCUUUCGAUACGGGUUGACUUGAGGAAGGUAGGGGAGAAUGGAAUUCCUGGUGGAGCGGUGGAAUGCGCAGAUAUCAGGAGGAACACCAGUGGCGAAGGCGGUUCUCUGGGCCUUUCCUGACGCUGAGGAGCGAAAGCGUGGGGAGCGAACAGGCUUAGAUACCCUGGUAGUCCACGCUGUAAACGGUGGGUACUAGGUGUGGGGUCCAUUCCACGGGUUCCGUGCCGUAGCUAACGCUUUAAGUACCCCGCCUGGGGAGUACGGCCGCAAGGCUAAAACUCAAAGGAAUUGACGGGGCCCCGCACAAGCGGCGGAGCAUGCGGAUUAAUUCGAUGCAACGCGUAGAACCUUACCUGGGUUUGACAUGGAUCGGGAGUGCUCAGAGAUGGGUGUGCCUCUUUUGGGGUCGGUUCACAGGUGGUGCAUGGCUGUCGUCAGCUCGUGUCGUGAGAUGUUGGGUUAAGUCCCGCAACGAGCGCAACCCUUGUUCACUGUUGCCAGCACGUUAUGGUGGGGACUCAGUGGAGACCGCCGGGGUCAACUCGGAGGAAGGUGGGGACGACGUCAAGUCAUCAUGCCCCUUAUGUCCAGGGCUUCACGCAUGCUACAAUGGCUGGUACAGAGAGUGGCGAGCCUGUGAGGGUGAGCGAAUCUCGGAAAGCCGGUCUCAGUUCGGAUUGGGGUCUGCAACUCGACCUCAUGAAGUCGGAGUCGCUAGUAAUCGCAGAUCAGCAACGCUGCGGUGAAUACGUUCCCGGG